rnacentral:rRNA from 1 species
AGCAGCCGCCGCGGGAAUACGUAGGUCCCGAGCGUUGUCCGGAUUUAUUGGGCGUAAAGCGAGCGCAGGCGGUUAGAUAAGUCUGAAGUUAAAGGCUGUGGCUUAACCAUAGUACGCUUUGGAAACUGUUUAACUUGAGUGCAAGAGGGGAGAGUGGAAUUCCAUGUGUAGCGGUGAAAUGCGUAGAUAUAUGGAGGAACACCGGUGGCGAAAGCGGCUCUCUGGCUUGUAACUGACGCUGAGGCUCGAAAGCGUGGGGAGCAAACAGGAUUAGAUACCCCUGUAGUCCCUGUCUCUUAUCCA